rnacentral:lncRNA from 1 species
GGAAGAUCCGCUGGAGAAGGGAAAGGCCCCAUUGCUCUGACCUGGAGAAUUCCAUCAACUGUAUAGUCCAUGGGGUAGCAAAGAGUCGGACACGAGUGUGCGACUUUCACUUUUAUAUUGUUUUAACACUUUCAUGCAAAAUUAUAUCUGAGAGCAUUUAACAGUUCUUGAAGACGAGCUCUGUCGCCCUGGCGGGCCGCCCUCCUGUCCCACGCGGCGGGGCAGCGCCUGCCUCAACCCAGGAGAGCGUUCGGGGAGCGCGCGGGCGGCUGGCCCCUGCCGCGCGGGCUGGCGGGCGGCGGCGACGGGCGGCUCCGCGGUGUGGGGACCACACACCGCCCGCCCGCGCCCGGCCCCUUGUCCUCGCGCGGCGAAGGUCCCGCGCGGCGGCGCUGGCGGCGGGACACGGUGGGCCCUGCGCGAAUUAUAGGCGUUCCUUCUGAGGCUCCAUGUUAAGCCUCUCCCGGACGCGCCCUCCCGGCUCCCCGUCCCCGAAAGCCGCACCCCGGGGCCCCAAGGAGCCGCGCUACCGGCCCACACCCCGCGCUCCCGGCCCCUGGCCUCAGGCUGCGGCAUCUCCAGCCCCCAGCCGCCGCCGGGACCGCGCGCCCGCGCCGCGGUCUGGUUCCGGAGCGGGGGCAGCCUCGGAAGGAAUUUUAUUGGAAACAAGGGAGCAAUACAAAAACUGAUUUGAAUAACCAACCUGCUUCAGUGUGAAAAAAAUUAAUGUGAAGUACUGGAGAAGUGGUGUUGAAUAUAUGCUCCGUCUUUUGUAAGUUAACUAAUUACACUGUUCAAAACUGUUUACAAACAGUUCAGUUGAGGUCAGUUCAGUCGCUCAGUCAUGUCUGACUCUGCGACCCCAUGAAAUUGCAGCACGCCAGGCCUCCCUGUCCAUCAACUGCCAGACUUCACCCAAAC